CUGCGAAUUACAAAUAAAAUAAACUAUGACUAUAACAUUUAAUUUAAAUUAAUAAUUUUGUUAUUUCAUACAAUUUCCCCUUAAAAAUAUGGAGAUUGAUUGGAUGUUGUUUGAUGAGCGUAUAAAGAACAUCAAUAUAAUUAAAUAAGCUAAAUGAGCAAAUCAGUAAAAUUGAAGUGUCAUUGCUUCAAUUAUUAUUUUGAUAACUUUAAGUGUUCAUUCUGGAAUAAGAGAUUCCGGUAUGAAUA
rnacentral:lncRNA from 1 species